GGGGCUGAUUCUGGAUUCGACGGGAUUUGCGAAACCCAAGGUGCAUGCCGAGGGCGGUUGGCCUCGUAAAAAGCCGCAAAAAAUAGUCGCAAACGACGAAAACUACGCUUUAGCAGCUUAAUAACCUGCUUAGAGCCCUCUCUCCCUAGCCUCCGCUCUUAGGACGGGGAUCAAGAGAGGUCAAACCCAAAAGAGAUCGCGUGGAAGCCCUGCCUGGGGUUGAAGCGUUAAAACUUAAUCAGGCUAGUUUGUUAGUGGCGUGUCCGUCCGCAGCUGGCAAGCGAAUGUAAAGACUGACUAAGCAUGUAGUACCGAGGAUGUAGGAAUUUCGGACGCGGGUUCAACUCCCGCCAGCUCCACCA
rnacentral:tmRNA from 1 species